rnacentral:tRNA from 2 species
GCGGGAAUGGCGGAAUUGGCAGACGCGCUAGUUUCAGGUAUUAGUGGGUGUACGCCCAUGCAGGUUCAAGUCCUGUUUCCCGCACCA